AGGUGCAAUCAUAGCAGCACUUAUGCACCAGAUCCCAUCAGAACUCCGCAAUUAAGCGUGCUUGGGCGAGAGUAGUGCUAAGAUGGGUGAGCUCCUGGGAAAUCCUCGUGUUGCACCUC
rfam:Lupinus angustifolius cultivar Tanjil contig_1795, whole genome shotgun sequence.